AUGUUAACAACAAACAAAAUUUAAAACUUAAUGCAAGAAUAGUAUAAUGUAGGUCAACCUAGGUCAUUACCUCCCACGCACUAUAUCGAGGUCUAUAUUUAGGAUACUAUGUUGUUAUUAUUGAGCAUGUGUAGCUCACUCCAAUUUACUCUUUUUUAGAGCAGAGAAUCACGAGCAACCCCAAGAUCAGCAAGAACCGUGAAGAGGGUAUUAGAGUACC
rnacentral:lncRNA from 1 species